UACGUAGGUGACAAGCGUUGUCCGGAUUUACUGGGCGUAAAGAGCGCGCAGGCGGUCGAUCAAGUCGAGUGUGAAAGCCCCCGGCUCAACUGGGGAGGGUCAUUCGAUACUGAUCGACUCGAAGGCAGGAGAGGGUAGUGGAAUUCCCGGUGUAGUGGUGAAAUGCGUAGAUAUCGGGAGGAACACCAGAGGCGAAGGCGGGUUACUGGGCUGAUACUGACGCUGAUGCGCGAAAGCUAGGGGAGCAAACGGG
rnacentral:rRNA from 1 species